rnacentral:lncRNA from 1 species
UUUGAUCUGUUUAUGAAACAAAGCACGGCCGAGAGAAUCAUCUGGUGUUAAGCAGAUGCCGGCCAGACAGGACAGGAGGAGCCGGACAGAGAGCCACGUCGCUGGGAAAGCAGAGCCUUGUGUCAAGGCACCUCGCAGCAAGAUCCCUGGGCCCAGGUCUGUGGCCCCUGCCUCCACUGUACCCGGAGCGCCCCAGAACAGAAACAGGUGUUGUUCUGGAAGGAUCCAGCGCCUCGUGGGAUGGACUUGCUCCAGUGGCUGAGCAGCUCAUGUGAAGAAAGGCGAUGGUGGAUCCCACAGAGGCCCCCUGGAUCCCCAGUCCAGAGCUGGGCACCCCGUGGUGGUGGUGUGGGGGGGGGAAGAGACAGUAAGACCUGCUCCGCUGAUCCGAGCAUAAGGUUUUCUGGAAUGUGAAUCAUACUUGGUCAAGAUCCCAAAAAUAAAAUGCAAAUCUUCCUCUGAUUUAUAGUAGCUGUCUUCACAGGAAACUCAGCGGGAAUGAAAACCCUGGGGGUAACCGGUGUUUUCAUAUGAAAUCAAACACCCGCAGGACUGUGAGGGUCUGGGCUCAGAUGAUUUUUGGCCAGGUUCUUUACCCGUCUGGACUUGCAGUGGAACAUCGGUCAUGUGGGACCCGGGUCACUCCAUCGAGAGGGACAGUCCUGUGCAGUCCAGGAUAUCUGACAUCUCUGACCCUCAUGGGCUAAAUGCCAACCGCAUUUCCUCAAAUCUUUGUGGAAACCAAAGUGCCCCAACAUGUUUCCAGAGUGUUCCUUGGAGCAGCACCUGCUCAGCUGAGAAGGACUACCCGAUGAGGUCAAGGUGAGGGGUGCAGGUGGACUUUUCAGCCUUGACCUUCCCAUCUGCAAUGUCCUGCAGCUGACGGGGGAGGGGCUCCUUCCUGCGGACUGGGGUGGGGGGUGGGGUUCAGCUUUGCCAGAUGUCCGAGAG